rnacentral:rRNA from 1 species
UACGUAGGGGGCAAGCGUUGUCCGGAUUUAUUGGGCGUAAAGAGCGUGUAGGCGGCCUGAAAGGUCAGCUGUGAAAACUCGAGGCUCAACCUCGAGACGUCGGUUGAAACCAUCUGGCUAGAGUCCGGAAGAGGAGUGUGGAAUUCCCGGUGUAGCGGUGAAAUGCGCAGAUAUCGGGAAGAACACCCGUGGCGAAGGCGGCACUCUGGGACGGUACUGACGCUGAGACACGAAAGCGUGGGUAGCAAACAGG